rnacentral:rRNA from 1 species
GAUGAACGCUAGCGGCAGGCCUAAUACAUGCAAGUCGUACGGCAACACAGUUGCGAGCAAUCGCAACCGGUGGCGAGUGGCGCACGGGUGAGUAACGCGUAUGUAACCUACCCUUCUCCGGGACAUAACUCCGCGAAAGCGGUGCUAAUAUCCCAUACCAACUCAUCAAGACAUCUUCUUGAGUUGAAAGCAGCAAUGCGGUGAAGGAUGGGCAUGCGUCCCAUUAGCUGGCUGGUGGGGUAACGGCCCACCAGGGCGACGAUGGCUAGGGGGUCUGAGAGGACGAUCCCCCACACUGGUACUGAGACACGGACCAGACUCCUACGGGAGGCAGCAGUGAGGAAUAUUGGUCAAUGGGCGGAAGCCUGAACCAGCCAUGCCGCGUGCAGGAUGACGGCCCUACGGGUUGUAAACUGCUUUUCCAGGGGGAGAAACUUUCCGAUGCAUCGGGAUUUGACGGUACCCUGGGAAUAAGCAUCGGCUAACUCCG